CGUCGCAUUUAAAAAGAAAGUUCUGGAGGGUGGGGCCACCGAGAGGAGGGGGCAGCCGAGCUGCAGCGCCAGCCCCGCGCGUGCGCACAGGGACCGCCCGGCGCCCUGGGGGACCCACGGCGCCUGGACCGAAAAGCGUGGGGCGAAGGGGCUGCCCAGGCCUGGGUCCCUCUUGAGAACCAGCAGCACUAGAGCCCGGUGUGGUGGUGCAUGCCUGUGAUUGCAGCACCAGGGAGGCUGAGGAAGGAGGAUCUCCAGGCCAGGCUGGGCUACAAAGCGAGACCCUGUCAAACAAACGAACGAACGAACGAACGAGAAAACCAAAAAACAAAGAGGUGAGCGCAGCAGGAGUCACGACCAGGGAGACUGAAGUACAGCGCACAGACGCCAGAGGGAGCCAGAGGCUUCGAGCUCAGACAGGAAACGGGCAGAUGGGAAAUUACGCUGACAAAGCCGGACAGUUUAAAAGGCAGAAUAACAGAAUGCCACAACUGUGAGGAGAGAGGAAGAAGAGGAGGAGGCGGAGGAGGAAGGAGAAGAAAGAGCCCUCAUGACUCUGAACCUGCUGGCACACUGAUCUUGGACAUCCGUGACUCCUCACCGAUCACAGGGUCACUUAAAAACGUGGCCCGACUCUUCCACGAGCACUGUUCUGCCAUCCACCCAGCAGCUGAGUGUGAUGUCCUCCCCACACAAUAUGGGAGAGAAAAACGCUGGUUGUUUCAGAAUCCUGAAAUAUGUGUGAGAGAAAUAAGUGGCCUUCAUUUUGCUUCUGGAAACUUCACAUCUCCCAGCUGGUAGUCAGCAACCCAUGCAGGUUGAACAGGAUGAGUGGAACCAACAGGGUGCGGGGCUGAGCCCAAGGCGUGGGGAGAGAACAGGGCCCCCGCAUAGGACUCGCAGGGGACCUGGCAGCAGCCCUCCCAUGGGAGUCCUGUUGCUCAUCUUGGAUUUUGCCAAAGUUGGGAGCAAAGAGUUCCAGCGCUAGCUAGUUUUUUAGUUUUGUUUGCAGAAGCAUACAUUAUGGAACAGCUGACAGAGCGAGGACACUGUUAUUCACAAGAAUUAAUCAGGUUCAGUUCCAAAAAGACAUUGCCUGUUCCUAACAGAAGCGAAAAAGCCAGCGUAUUUUAGGGCAAAAGAGGAGGAAAGAAGGCCGAGAAGCUGCUGAUAAUAACUCAGGUGGUCCGUUCUCCCCUCCACCGUGACUUGAGGAGGAAUCCAGCACACCGGCUGGGCUUUGAGUUCAGGAACUAUAAAUUCCCCGGACAGUGGCACACACCUUCGAUCCCAGCACUCAGGGAGGCUGAGGCAGGAGGAUCAGAAAUUGGAGCCCAGCCUGGGUGAUUUAGCCAAAUACAAGACCCUGUCUCAAAAGGAGAAGGGCUGGGAUGCAGCUCAGCAGGAAUUCAACCCUGGAUUCGACCUCAGAGCCUGAAACAGAGAAUCCCCCUGAUAAAGGCCAUGUAUUCCUGUUGAAAACUAAAUAGUACCAAAUUUUAUCACUGUUUUUUUUGUUGUUGUUGUUGCUCAAGUUCUUUUAUUGGUACAUGUUAGGUAUAUCAUACCUUUACAUUUAUCACUGGGUGCUUGUACCUGUACAUGAUGCAUCUUGGUUCUCAUUUUUCCCCCAUUCCCUGUGCGCCCUUCACCCCCUCUGCCCUUCCCUAUUUACAUAGAUUUCAUUUCCUUUUCUUUUUUCUCAG
rnacentral:lncRNA from 1 species